rnacentral:rRNA from 1 species
GAUGAACGCUGGCGGCGUGCCUAAUACAUGCAAGUCGAGCGAACAGACGAGGAGCUUGCUCCUCUGACGUUAGCGGCGGACGGGUGAGUAACACGUGGAUAACCUACCUAUAAGACUGGGAUAACUUCGGGAAACCGGAGCUAAUACCGGAUAAUAUAUUGAACCGCAUGGUUCAAUAGUGAAAGACGGUUUUGCUGUCACUUAUAGAUGGAUCCGCGCCGCAUUAGCUAGUUGGUAAGGUAACGGCUUACCAAGGCAACGAUGCGUAGCCGACCUGAGAGGGUGAUCGGCCACACAGGAACUGAGACACGGUCCAGACUCCUACGGGAGGCAGCAGUAGGGAAUCCUCCGCAAUGGGCGAAAGCCUGACGGAGCAACGCCGCGUGAGUGAUGAAGGUCUUCGGAUCGUAAAACUCUGUUAUUAGGGAAGAACAAAUGUGUAAGUAACUAUGCACGUCUUGACGGUACCUAAUCAGAAAGCCACGGCUAACUACGUG